AAAGAAGGCCUCUCCAUUAGUUACUAUCUUCACUUGCACUAAAUGAUUUUAAGCUUCACGUUUUAAACUCUCUGAUAAGGCUUUGCAUCUCCAUUUGUGCUCCACGAGGUUACCAUCUUCAUCUUCCUCUAAUCCCCUAUCUCUUUCAUGUUUUUUCAUGUAUUGUUUUUAAAUCAGUUUUGAGACAAAAAUCUAACGAAUCUUUACCUAAUUUUUUAAAAUCCCUAAUUUUGCCUCUUUGGUUUCAACUCAAUCGUUGUCAUCUUCUUCAUCAGCGCCGUUUCGAAACAGGUUCUUCCUCUCUCUCUCUCUCUCUCUCUCUCUCUCUCUCUCUCUCUCUCUCUCUCUCCUCAUUUUGGUUCUGAUUUUGUAAUUAACGAAAUGGUUAACAAUAUUUUUUGUUUCGAUUAAGCUUAAGUUUUAUUUGGUACAACUUACUUGAUUUUGUUAUUCGGUCAAGCUCAAUCUUAAUUCUAAAAGUGGUUUUUUCCUGUGAUGUGUGAUUUGGUGCAAUGUGUGAACAAUAAAUUUAACCGAUUGAACCUAGUUCCUUGAUCAAUUAGUUGCAUGUGGUUAGGUUUUCGAUUGUCUACUUUUUUAUGCUGCUAUUGAUAAUGUUUGAAGGUAUUAAAAUACAUGUCCUGUUGGCUCUAGUUGCAUUUUAGAGUACAGUGUGAUACAUCCUGUAAACGGAACUUAUCUGGUCUUUUGAAAUUCUGCUGAAGGCUUUAAUUAAUCCAACAGAGUUAUCAUAGUAUUAACAUCUUUUAAAAAUCUUGGUUAUAUAUUUUACGGUUCUGAGUUAUAUCGAUGGUAGGGGAGGGGACAUAGAUGAAAUAGAAAUCAAUAAUACUAAUGAGACUCUUUCUGAAGUAUUUCUUUUCAAUUCUACUUAUGUAUAUUCUUUCUGAAGUAUUUCUUUUCGAUUUUUCUUAUAUAUAUGUGUGUAUGUAAUCUCCUCAUUUGAGAUCGUGUUAUAUAUUUUUUACCAUUAAGAUUGAGAAAUUAUGGACUCUUUGAAUAUACAACUGGCAAAGAAGUUUUGCCACUUGAAUUGUAAAAUCUUGGAAUCAAGUGCAGUUCAUCAGGGUGAAAAUUUGAUGUCUUUUAGUUUUGAUGAUGUAAAGAAAAAACAGAAAAACCUCAGAAAAGUGGAGGUGAGAUUUAAUUAUAUGGUGAAGACCUAAGAGGGCUCUUAUUAAUGAGGUGUGUUUACCAAGAAGACAAGAUAAAAGACGCUGAGAAUAAUGCUGCAUAUUGAUAUAGGUCUGGAGGAACUUAAUGUCUAACAGAUGGUUCAAGUUCCAUGGAUUAAGCUCUACUACAUAUGGCUUGCAGUGUCUUCCAAUUUAAUAGCUUAAUAAGUGCCAUUGAGAUUUGAUGUUUUCAGGCUUUGCAUGUAUAGAAACUUAGCUUCAUCUCAGGAAGUUAGUUGACCACGAAGUCAAACCUUGGUGUGCACCAACUACCAACUACUUUUAGUUCAUAAUCACAUAUAAAUAUACCUUUCUAUCUAGAAUAACUAGACCUCUGUAACUGAAAUACAAGAAAUCAACCUAUUUAAAUCCCAGCUAAUUUCUAAUAUCAACUGAAUCAAAGUGUGAUUAUUUGUAAUUUUGCAAUUUCAGCUAGGAUAUUUUUGUUAAAAUCAUUAAGUUACGGACUAUCGAAAACUCUUCUUUUGCAGGAACCUGUUAGAAGUGCAAUAAUAGAUUCAUGCAUUCAGGUUACAGACAAUGGAAGGGAGAGCAUUAACAAAAUGGUGCAAUUAUUAAAUCCCUAAUUUAUGUUCCAGCAUAAUGCAUAUUUCUUUUUAGUGCUGCAACAUCAAAAUUUAAUGCUUAUGAAGUGUUUACCACAUUCAGGUCUUCUUCAUUUUCACCCUUUACAGCACUUCAAAUAAUAAUGAUCAGCCUAAGUUGUGUAAACUGUGAGCUGUGUUUAUUUAUUUUGAUAUCAAAUUAUUAGCAGGCAAGUCAUUCUAAUAUUUAAACUUUACAGCUAGGAGCAAGUAGUUCAGAGGAAGCAGCGAGAUGGAUUCAUGGCUUGAAGGAUGCUGCAUUAAAGGUUUAACGCUAAUAACUUACAAUCA
rnacentral:lncRNA from 1 species